CUGAAGCAUGGUAAGCUAGAAGAACAGCUAUGAGAUAUGAAAUUAGAAAAGUGUACAGGAGCCAGAUCAUAUAGGAUUUAGUAACCCAUCCAAGGAUGAUGGGAAGCGACUGGAAGGCUUGGAGCAGAGAGGGGGGUGGUGAUCUGAUGCGCAUUUAAAAGCAUUGCUCUAACUGCUGUUUGGACAAUAGAGCAUAGAGGGAAGGAGUGGGAUCGGAAAGCUCUCUUGAAGGACUAUUACAGGAUCAUAAAGGGGGAGAUGCUGGCAGGUUGGACUAGGGUGAUGGUAGUGUAGGUAGAGAGAAGAGGAUAGACUCAGGCUAUGAUUUGGAGGAAGAUGGGGACAAUGGGACUUGCUGAUUUAUCAUAUGUGAGAGAUGAAGGAAACAGUAAUUAAGGAUAAACUCACUGAGAUGAGAAAGAUUAGAGAAGGAGUGGAUUAGGAGAGGUGAAUGAGGAUGGAAAUCUGGAAUUUUGUUUUAGCCAUGUUAAUUUUGAAAUUUCUAUUGGAAGCCUAAGUGGAAGUGACACAUUGGUAGUUGGAUGCAGAUAUCUUGAAGGUCAGGGCUGGAGGCACAUGUUUGGGCUUACUGGUACGUAGAUCAUUUGAAAGCCAUAGGACUUGAUAAAAUUAUGUAGGAAGGGGGUACAAAGAGAAGAGGCAGAGUCUUGGCUUGAACCCUGAGGUAUUCCAACAUCUUGAAGGCAAGCAGAAGAUGAGCCAGCAGAGAAUGACAAGGAGUCCCUUUUAUAAUACAUGUUAAGACCCUGACGUUUCAAGACAGAGAGGAUUUUAUAAGUGUAAAGAGAAUGAAUCAUUGAAAGUACAUUCAAAAACAUAGAAACAACCUUUUCUGCCCAGCACUACACUGUGGGCUGUAAGACAGAAUAUAACUCCUUUUCCUUUUCAUAACAGCAGCUUACACUUGUAAGUAUGUGAUAGUUUACAAGACAUUUUAGAAUAUAUCAGUUUCUUUUAAUAGUCACCAGUGUGUGGGAGUUAGGUGCCAUUAUCCUUUAUUUCACAUUUUAGAGAGAUUACAUGACUCUCCUAAGUUCUCACUAAAGAUAGGAAGGGCGAUAGAAAUUUGAAUAAAGCAUCUGAUGCCAGUUUCCUCCUGCUCCACUGUCCUUUCCGCCAAUGCAAAUUCUUUAAUUCUGCCUUUGAACUAGCUUCAGGGAUGGCACUGUAUACCUAGGUUAAGUGCAUUACAGAGGACACCACUUUCUAGCUCUUUGUAUCCCAAAGAAAGUGAACAUCUGGGACCUACCUUUCUCAGGCUCAUUAGACAGGCUGCUUCCUAUAUAGGCUACCAUUUUACUUUGUCCCAGAAAACAGUGAACAUUAGCUUUGAGGCACAGGGACUUUGUUUUAAAUUCCGGCCCUGCCAUUCAUUCGAUGUAUGAUAUCACGUACGUCACUUAACUUCUCUGAGCGUCUGUUUCGUCAUGGGUAAAAUGAAGAUAAUGUCAAUCUGUAACAGAUAUUUGCUGAUAUUGCUGCCUUGUACCCAUUCUUUUCCCCCAUUGCACAGUUAUGGAAAAAAUAUCACAAUUUUGUUGUGAAGGUCUCACACCACUCCACCCUUUGUUCUUGUGCUUUAGAUGGAGCUGUCUCUAUCCUUCCCUUCCAGGGUGCGAUACGAGACCUAGGUCAAGGCUAAGCCAAUCUGUACAAACCAGUGCAUUCCAUCUCUAAGGCUUUGAUGAUUGGCUUACAGCUGGUCACAUGAUCUAAGUCAGGUCAAUCAGAACCAGGAAAAUUUAAAGCUGGUAUAUCUUUGGUGAGCCGAUGGAAGAAAUAGAUUGUCUUCUCUGCUGGAUUGGGUGCUAUAUUUGUGAGUUUGAGAGUGACCACAGGGACCCUGAGAAUGCCGUCUAUAUGAAAGAUGCAGAUUGAGAAAAAGAUUCCAGGAAUGUCAUUUGAGCCCUUGGUCGAGCCAUAUCUGAAGCCGCUGGAUUCUACCCUGGACUUGCAUGCAAGUUAACCAAUCUUCUUUCUUGUUCAAGCCAGUCUGAGUUGGGUCUCCUGUCACCUGCAAGUAUAAGAGUUUAAAUUGAUAAAAUUAUCUUGAAUGGUUGUAGCAAGGAUAAAAUUAAUAAAUAUAAAAAGAACAAAUCCAAAGGAGACUCUCAGUAAAUAGAAGCAAUUAUGGCAAUUUCAUCUUCAGUUUCCUUUAAAUGCUACACCCUUCCCAUAACAGCGAUUGAGUAGUCUCAGAAAUUGAAAACUAUAAAGGAAUCUAAGCAUAACCAGGUGCUGCAGAUUUGUGUAUUUUCAAAAGUUCACAGCAUCAAGCCAAAAUGCCAGUUACUCUGACGCAGACUAAAUAUUCAUCAUCAGAAGAACGCACAUGGAACACACACAUGCAAACGUACAAGACUGUAAACAUCCAUCCUCAUCUCCAAUGAAUGUUUUGGGGGUGAAACUAAUCUUGAUUCUCCAAUUGGGGUCAUGACCCAGACUUGGCUAAUGAGAGAACAGCAUCCUCCUGGCUCCUCCUGCUUCAGAGAUGAAUGUGAUCCCAAGAGGGAAGCGAAAGGAGUACCUGCAAGUUCUCCUGAAACUUUCAGCCUGUCCUCCUCAAGUCUUCAGGUCGUGAAGCUAAGGCCCAAAGAUCACUGGCUGCCAUGUCAUGGAUACACCCAGGAAGUUUCUGGUUAAACCCACAUAUGCAGAUGCGAGACACACAAAUAACCAUGGUUCUUCCUUCCCCAGCACCUGACCUCAGUGAGAUUGCCCGUCCCUCACUCCCACAGCCUGGAACCCCAUUGCAGCACCAAUUCUCUACAACUGGCAGGCAUGUUGGUCCCACACUGUUAGAGCUGAUUGGGCUAUUUCUGCAUUAUAUCAGGAGCCUCUACAAUCAGAGCUGGUGUGAACACACAAUGGAGAUGCCCUUGGGCAUUCACAGUGGCUGCCAGAGAACAUCGUGAGCUUCCCACAAAGGACUGAAGAUUAUGAGAAAGAUAACAAACAGAUAUGAUGGUGGUACGAAGCAAAAAAUUAAAGAUUCCAGACAGCAGUACCAGGAGGCCAGCAAAAUCCUUGGCAGCAGCCUCUUCCAAUAAAUCAGCAUGUCAGAAGAAACAAUGACCCUUCCCAUGGUACAGGAACAAAACCACAAACUCUCCAAGGUGGACCUGGAACAGAAGUCUCCAAGACAACCUCAAUACAUCUCAUUCCUUUCCCAUUCAUCGAGGGCAAGUACAAGAGGUGAUGGAAUUUCUUCAACUUUAUCAAGAGGCUCACCAAUCCAGAACGACCCUCGGAAACCCAGAUAAGAGAGUGAAUUAAUUGCCCAUUGUAAAUAUCAGUAUCCUUUCGCCAACCCACCAACUGUUAUUCUCUGAUGUGAAUGGGAAAAUCUCCAGGACGUAAAGGAGGGUAGAUUCACUGGCAGAAGGUGCCUUGGUCCCUGAAUGACUACAUGGAGCACUGUCCUGUCCCCUCCCUACAACUGUCACUGGACUCUGACAUGAUUUUGCACAUUUAUAUGAGGAUGUGAUGCCUGGAACUACAACAGCGACCUUGUCUUCAUUAAGAGAAAAAUCUGAAAGCAAAAAAUGACAGGCUACAGAUGGCUAAGGCUGUGGAGCCAGUUCUGGAAGCAACCUAUUACCAGAAGUGUUUUAGGGGACAAGACUCUUGGGUGGCCAGAACUGAAGACUCAGAAAUGACAGCCCUCUUACCCUCCGAGGUACUGACUGAGACGUAGGAAGUUCCAUCCACAAGGUGCUGUGUUGUGCAGGGUCCGAGAGGACCUGGCUCAGGAUUCUGACUAGACACUCUAAACGUUUUGUACUCUGGGGAAAGCAACGCUCCCUCAGCUUCUGUUUCUUUAGUUUUAAAAGCAAAGAGCCUUUACUAGAUGGUGUCUCGCAUUUCUACUAUAGUGCAAUAAUUUAUUCUUUUCUGUUUUGUUUCAUACCAGUUGACUGUGCAAAAAAAU
ensembl:lncRNA